UUAUUCAUACCUCUUUGUUAAUUAUAAAUGUAGUUCUCUCGUUUCCGUAAAUUAGAUACGUUGUGGCAGUCCAGUAUACGCAUUUGACUAGUGCAGACGAUGUAUGUACACAAAGCAAAAUACUCUUUUCUAUUUUCAUCUGGAAAAUAAUAACAUGCAACGUUCUUGGGUUAAACUAAAUUCUUUAUAUCCAUCAAACAGAUCGAAUCAGCAUCGAAGAACUAAAUGACGAAUAUAAGUUUACAAAUUGUAAAACAGGAAAAACAAAAUAAAAGGAUGCAUGUUAUACAACAUAAUAGUUUAAUAGUGAAAAAAUAUUUUCCUCGUGGCCAAUGAGAAAAAUAAUCCAUGUGUUGUACAGUAAAACGGUUUUUAGACUUUCAAGCUGAUCAACAAAAUUUAAAGCUCAAGCUUGCGAUCUGAAGUUUUGAGAAGUUUUUAGUUAUUAGCCAUACUUACCAGAGAAAACGAAUUUACAGACUAUACAAGAUUAGACUCGCUGUGGCAGUCCUGUAUACGGAUUCGACUAUAGCAGGCGAUAUAUUUACACAACGCAAAAUUCUCUUUCCUACGUUAACUGUGCCGUAUUGUUAACUUGUGUAAGCUGUGACGAUAGGAAGCCGGCUCUCCUACUGAUGUCUCAUUUUGUCGCUGGCUGAUGAUGGAUAGACUUCGUUCUGCGCGCCGAACACAAGUGAAAAAAC